rnacentral:rRNA from 1 species
UGGGCAACCUGCCCCUCUCUCUGGGAUAACCCCGGGAAACCGGAGCUAAUACCGGAUACUCCGGCUGGAUCGCAUGGUCCGGCCGGGAAAGGUCCGCCGGAGAGGGAUGGGCCCGCGGCCUAUCAGCUUGUUGGUGGGUAACGGCUCACCAAGGCUACGACGGGUAGCUGGUCUGAGAGGACGACCAGCCACACUGGGACUGAGAUACGGCCCAGACUCCGUACGGGAGGCA